CUAGCGGAGCAUCCGAGUGCACAGCAAAGCCAAGACAAACACAGCGCUGCUCUCUCCUGAAAAUGUUAGUGGUUUGAAAGAUCUCCGUUGUUGCUCCAUCCCGGAAAAUGAUUCAUCCUCCCCUCGGGGUUUUGACUUGCCUCUGCACGUUUCACAACACUGCCUGGCUUUAUAAGAGCGUGGUUGCACGCGGCGACUCCUAGCAGAUUUCUCGGCUCGGUUGCGAGCGAGGCGGCGGCUAAUCCUUCUAACGAUGAUUUUCCUCUUGCAGCAUUUCAUCUUUCUGGCCAUAGACUUAUUACUCGCGACGACCCUUUCCUGCCUCUUUUAUGCCUUUAUAUGCAUUUCCAUUGCAUUUUUGACCUGCUUCAUUAUCAUCUUCUCCUUCGGCAUUGUGGAGAGGAACAUUGAUGUGAAAGGGAGAGCAAUUGUAGUUCUCGUGUCCAACAGCUCCAUUGGGAGGAUGUUUGCAAGGAACCUGGAUAAAGCAGGUUUCAGGGUGUCUGCUGCACACUGGCCUCCUCGAGAGGAGGGGACAGCUACAGAAGAAGAGUGCUUUUCAAGCACGGAGGUAGCCCAGCUCCACAUGACUGAAGAUGAGUAUCAGAAGACAAUGAAAACCUUCAUAGAAAGCCACUUAUCCCUGAAAGGCAUGUAUGGGAUGAUGAAGAAGCCAUCAAUCCUGAUAUGGGAAGAGGAACCAGACACAUGCAGUGAGAAAUGUGAGAGAAAAACACUUGAGAGAAAAAACUCCUGUAAAUGGAAGAAGGUUUUCAAGGCUCCAGCCCUCUGUGUUGCAGUCCUCUUUUGCCCACUGAACUGUACCCUGACUUUCCUGAAGAGAAGCCUGCAGCUCCUUGUGCCUCUGCUGAAAUCCAAAAACUGAGAGGUGAGACAGCAGACUCACAGCUUAGUGAUGUGCACCUGACAGAGCUAACCAGCAUCUCCUGCAACGGUAGGUCUUUCCUCUGCUGGAAGGGUGACCCAGCUGGCAGGAAGAGGGCUGGGAAAGCCACCCAAGAGCAGCCGCCUGCCCCUUCCAGCACUCUUGACCCCUAAAGGACGCUUUCUGCACCAACCUGGCCCCAAGGAGUCCAGCCUGGGGCACAGCCACACACAGGCAACCACCUGGGGGGCAAAAAUAAACCAAAUUUGGCUUGUGUUCCCUUAACUGGU
rnacentral:lncRNA from 1 species